GACGAACGCUGGCGGCGUGCUUAACACAUGCAAGUCGAACGGAAAGGCCCUGCUUUUGUGGGGUGCUCGAGUGGCGAACGGGUGAGUAACACGUGAGUAACCUGCCCUUGACUUUGGGAUAACUUCAGGAAGCUGGGGCUAAUACCGGCUAGGAGCUCCUGCUGCAUGGUGGGGGUUGGAAAGUUUCGGCGGUUGGGGAUGGACUCGCGGCUUAUCAGCUUGUUGGUGGGGUAGUGGCUUACCAAGGCUUUGACGGGUAGCCGGCCUGAGAGGGUGACCGGCCACAUUGGGACUGAGGUACGGCCCAGACGCCUACGAGAGGCAGCAGGGGGGAAUAUUGCACAAUGGGCGGAAGCCUGAUGCAGCAACGCCGCGUGCGGGAUGACGGCCUUCGGGUUGUAAACCGCUUUCACCUGUGACGAAGCGUGAGUGACGGUAAUGGGUAAAGAAGCACCGGCUAACUACGUG
rnacentral:rRNA from 1 species